GACAGAGGCCUCAAGCGUUAGGCGGAAUCACUGGGCUUAAAGCGUGUGUAGGCGGACUUCUAAGUGCCUUGUGAAAUCCCACGGCUCAACCGUGGAACUGCUGGGCAUACUGGGAGUCUUGGGCCAUUCAGGGGCAACUGGAACAAGCGGUGGAGCGGUGAAAUGCGUAGAUAUUGGGAGGAACACCAGUGGCGAAGGCGGCUCACUGGACCGGUACUGACGCUGAUGCGCGAAAGCGUGGGGAGCAAACGGG
rnacentral:rRNA from 1 species